GUUGCGGCAGUGGGGGUUGUUGGGGCCCAGUCGCCCAGACCUAGCCUUCACCGGACAUCCCUCCCUCCUCUUCUCGGGGAGUGGUGCUCCCUGCGCUGCCCAUUCUCGGAUAAGACCUAGCCUUCACCGGACAUCCCUCCCUCCUCUUCUCGGGGAGUGGUGCUCCCUGCGCUGCCCAUUCUCGGAUAAGGUUCCGAGGGGUCACCCCAUCAUUCUCGAAGGCCUGGAAGGAGAGGAUAUGGAUGUGGAGCAAUGGCAGCUCAUCGAGGGAGCAUCUGCUAGAGCUGACAAAGGUCUAGAGACUAUUGAGCGCUGCCUCGACAAUUUCGAGGAGGCGAUGUUGAUAGCCUGCACUAUGAUGAUGUGGGACCUGCUCCCCAUCGGCCAGAGGGAGGUGUUGCUAACUGCAUGACAGAAGGUGGAGCAGCUGCAUGCGGAGGUCUCCCAUUCGGAGGAGAGAAAGCACGAGCUCGCCUCACUUCGUGCUGAGGCUGAAAGGCUUUGUGGAGAGGUGAUGUGCUUGCGCACGCAACGUAGCGAGCGCGGAGCAGCGCGAACCUCCUUCGAGAGGAGAGGGGCCAUCUUCAGGGGGACAUGCAUGAGUUGAAUCAUUGGGCCAAGGAGGCCGAGUGGACCCUGAGGGUGGAAAAUGCUUGCCUAGAGGAGGCAAACUUGGAGCUCUCAAGAGAGCGCAAGGCGGUCGAAGAGCUCCAGAAAAUGUUCUCUAAUGCCCAAGACACCGGGAAAGUGGUGGAGGAGCUGAAGAAGGCGACGGAGGACGAGAUGUGCAAGCCCGCGCUUGCCGAUGAUGAUGUUGUCGCCACACAGGUC
rnacentral:misc_RNA from 1 species